GACGAACGCUGGCGGCGUGCUUAACACAUGCAAGUCGAACGGAAAGGCCCUGCUUUUGUGGGGUGCUCGAGUGGCGAACGGGUGAGUAACACGUGAGUAACCUGCCCUUGACUUUGGGAUAACUUCAGGAAACUGGGGCUAAUACCGGAUAGGAGCUCCUGCUGCAUGGUGGGGGUUGGAAAGUUUCGGCGGUUGGGGAUGGACUCGCGGCUUAUCAGCUUGUUGGUGGGGUAGUGGCUUACCAAGGCUUUGACGGGUAGCCGGCCUGAGAGGGUGACCGGCCACAUUGGGACUGAGAUACGGCCCAGACUCCUACGGGAGGAAGCAGUGGGGAAUAUGGCACAAUGGGCGGAAGCCGGAUGCAGCAACGCCGCGUGCGGGAUGACGGCCUUCGGGUUGUAAACCGCUUUCGCCUGUGACGAAGCGUGAGUGACGGUAAUGGGUAAAGAAGCACCGGCUAACUACGUG
rnacentral:rRNA from 1 species